CGUACACUCCUGCGGGAGGCAGCAGUGGGGAAUAUUGGACAAUGGGCGCAAGCCUGAUCCAGCCAUGCCGCGUGAGUGAUGAAGGCCCUAGGGUUGUAAAGCUCUUUCACCGGUGAAGAUAAUGACGGUAACCGGAGAAGAAGCCCCGGCUAACUUCGUGCCAGCAGCCGCGGUAAUACGAAGGGGGCUAGCGUUGUUCGGAUUUACUGGGCGUAAAGCGCACGUAGGCGGACUAUUAAGUCAGGGGUGAAAUCCCGGGGCUCAACCCCGGAACUGCCUUUGAUACUGGUAGUCUUGAGUUCGAGAGAGGUGAGUGGAAUUCCGAGUGUAGAGGUGAAAUUCGUAGAUAUUCGGAGGAACACCAGUGGCGAAGGCGGCUCACUGGCUCGAUACUGACGCUGAGGUGCGAAAGCGUGGGGAGCAAACAGGAUUAGAUACCCGGGUAGUCCCAUGA
rnacentral:rRNA from 1 species